rfam:Desulfobacterales bacterium RIFOXYA12_FTLL_46_15 rifixya3_full_scaffold_6596, whole genome shotgun sequence.
GCCACAGAUGCUAAAAGCCUGGAUGCCCAGGCCGGGAUUGAGAGUGCUUUUUCAAUCCUGAGCCAGGGUCUUUCCGGAUUAAACCUGAUUCAUGAUGUGG